UUCAAGAUGUUGAGUAUUGAUUACUAAUCAACUACUAGCCUGGAAGAUAAAAGCCAAAGCUGUAAACAGACAGGUCAGGUAAAUAUAUGAAUGAAGAAAUUGAAACUAGAAGUAAACAUCAUGGGAAGUCUAAUUAUAGGGCAAGUAUUUUUCCUUCAUAUCUUAUUUAACAUAGUCAAACCAUGCAAUACUUAUAGGCUUAACUAUUGUUUUCAUAGAAACAAUGUUAUUUUAAAUAUCAUGAGAUAGCAACAAAUAUUCCUUGGUAAUCUGCUAUCAGAUGACAGUUAUCUCUUUGGCAUUUUUAUGAAUUAAAGCUUUCAAAGCCAAAGUAAGACUUAAUUUUUUCUUUUCUUUAACUGCUAAUUCUAAAAUAAUUUAUCAUUGCAUGUUAAAAAUAACUUGUUAUACAUUUUUCUGUGUUUUUGGUCAAGCUUCAGAUUUGCUUAGCAUAUUCCUGUACUACAUAUCAAUAAAUGUUUGAUGGUUUGUCUGGUUCAUCUCUUAACACUAUGAAGAUGGCUACACUAAUCUUAACAAGCAAACAUUCUGUUGCCAACAGUACCAAUUUGUCAUCCUAUCCAAGCAACUACUAUUCCUUGGUAAUCUGCUAUCAGAUGAUUACAGUUUUCUCUUUGGCAUUUGUAUGAAUUAAAGCUUUCAAAGCCAAACCUUAGAUUUGGUUAACAUAACCCUGAACUGCAUAUCAACAAAUGUCUAAUGGUCUGUCUGGUUCAUUUCUCAAGACUAUGAAGAUGGCUACACAGGUAUCAGCUAUCAGCAGUGCACCCCUAUGAUACACAAGUCUUCAUUGCCAAGUCACUCUUGCCAAACAGUGUGUACACCUUUCUUGCAUUGGUAGUGACCCACUUUACUGUCAUGAGUCUGGAUAUGUCAGGCCAAGGAGAUCAAGUUUGUGUCCAAGGUUACUUAGUUAAUUCUCUAAGAACAAUAGACAGACUCUACAUGCUACUGAUCUGGAGGUUAGUGGCUCAAUCAUUGUGCACUGAUUCUUCACUGAUGCCUUGAUUCCCCACUGUCAACUUUAUUGUCAUAAAGUUUAUCUAGUGAUCUACAUAUCAAGACUAAAUGGUCAAUUAAACAUGAGGUCAAGGAAAAAGGAUGAACAUUUCAAGGCUACUGAUGGAACAUUAAACGUCUCUCUCAUUGUGAAAAGAUUCUACCGAUCUACAAAUGAUCAACAUGUUUUAUCUUAAGUUCGUCUGCCAUUUCUUCAAAUGGAGCCAUAUUAAGAAUAAGAUUCUUUUUGUUCUUCCUUAGGUUCAAAUGUAUCAGUUGUUUUUGUUGACAGAUAUCAAGUUUAGUUGCCUACCAGCAGUUUGGUGCUACAAGUCAACAACAGUCAGACUAAAUUAAAUAAAGCCAUGUCUAUUUCUACAUGAUUUUGUUGCUACUAACCUGGUGUUACUAACAACUAACUUGAAAAGGGAGAGGGGAAUUAUCAUCUUAUUCAUGCUCUAACUCUUCAAAUUCUAUAGAAUUGCAGAGAACUGACAUGAAAUAAAACAUUAACAAAAUGUGUAUUAUAAUUGUCAUUUUUCCUUUACUUAGCAUUUUUUUGUCUCCUAGAUUUUCAUAAUAUUUUGUUGAAGUCAUUUCAGUUCUCAAUUAUUUUGUGCACUAAGUUACAAGAAAAAAUUCAAGCAAAAGAGGUCACUACACUAAGACUUUGUCUUCUCAUAAGAAUGGAUGGCUGCCUGGUCAUGUGAUAUGUGUGCUGGACUGUGUGUGGUCAUCUUGAUGCUCAUAUCUUGCCUGAUGACAUUUAUUCUGCUGGACAUUUGGUCAAGGAAGUAGAUUCUCUUCAGCUCUCAAGAAACAUUCAAAACAUGUCAAACAUUUGACAAGAAUAUCAAGCAAGUGCAGUGUACAUACCAACAUGAUGAAGAUGUAGACCAACAUGAUGAAGAUGUAGGCCGACAUGAUGAAGAUGUAGACUGACAUGAUGAAGAUGUAGGCCGACAUGAUGAAGAUGUAGACUGACAUGAUGAAGAUGUAGACUGACAUGAUGAAGAUGUAGACUGACAUGAUGAAGAUGUAGACCAACAUGAAGAUGAAAUGUAAACCAAAAUAUUGAUCAAGAGAUGUAUGGAAUAAAAAGUGAACAUCUUGAGAGGGAAAACAAUUCCUAGAGGCAAAGACACAGACACAGUAGAUACAUUAGAGAUUGUUUCCUUUUCUACCAUCAUUUAGAGCCUUUUUUGUGAGGGAACCUGCAUCUGAAAGAACUGAACAUUUCCCUAAUGCUACUUCAAAUUCAGAUCUCCUCCCAACCUCAGGCUGAGUACCCAUGGUCACCUACUUUGUUACAUUACCAUAGCACUACAGACAGUGAAAAACAAAUUAUAUGAAGGAGUGCAACCACCAUCAGAUAUUGUUGUCUUUACAGACUCCCAAUCCACUCUGCAAGCACUUAACAGCAGCACCUCAAACAACCCAAGAGAGUUGACAACACUCAUUGUGAUAAUCCAUCAGAUGAUAUCAAAAUUAAAUAUCAAUAUCACACUACAGUGGACCCACAUUGGCAUCAUGGGAAAUGAAAAGGCAGAUAAGCUAUCAAAGGCAGGUUCAUCUAUGGAACAACCAGAUAGACCUGUUAACUACCUCACCCUAAGGUCAAUGUUAGUCAACAAUCACAAAGAGGAGUGGCUCAACCAAUGGGCAUCAGGAAACACAGGCAGAGCCAUGUACAGAGAAAUGACUACGCCUAACAAACUGGACAGUAUUAACUUCCUCCCCUGCAAAGAACAAUCUACAAUUUUCCAACUAAGAACAGGACACACUCCACUAUUAAAUUACCACCUGAACAAAAUAAACUCCACACAACUCCUCCUUUGCAGACACUGCGCCCACCCCUUUGAAACCGUAAACCAUAUCCUCUUUGAAUGCCCCUUCCUAAUCCACCUUAGGCAGACCCUACUUCCACUACAGCCCAACAUAACCAACACCCUGUACGGCAGUGCUGAACAACUGAAGAAAACAGCACACUUUUUUUCCUUGGCACAGUCUGCAAAAGAACUCACAGCUCAGCAGCAAUAAAGCUGGCUAGAAGAAGAAGAAAAAAAAGAGGUUACAUUACAAGAAGUGGUCGCAAAGUCAGAAAACCUAACAGAUGACAAUGAAUAGAACAAUCAUUUCUAAUAUAGGUACAAGUGAUGUACUUUGUAAUAACUAUUUGGGUGCAAUCACUAUAAUUGACUUGUAUCUUGUUCUAUAUUUAGGUAAAUCUUGUCAUUCAGUCCAGUCAUUGUUCUUUUUCAUAUUCCUUUUUUUCCCCUCAAUCUUCUUGUUGUUUCAGUGAAAUGUUUUUAUCUUUUUUGUUUUGGAGGAGGGAGUGGCUGUGGUAUAUUAUCAUUAUUAUUAUUGGAGUCACAACACCAAAGCCUUGCUACAUUAUGCUUUUAAUUCAAUUUAUUAUCUCCCCUGCUUUUGUGUGCUAUCAUAUUAAUGUUCAUUAGUGUCACAUCCAUGCACAAUUUGUUCUAUGCUUUUUAUAGUGUAAAUAGUGACUUGACAUUAUUUAGAUCAAUUAUAAUAUGUUAUAUUAUAUUUAAAAUAAAACUGUUAGCAUUUUCUAUGAUGUUAUUAAUAUGAAUGUGUUUGUGUGUUGCUAUGAAUGCAUUUUAAGUUUUAGUCUGAAAUCAUAAAUAAGAAAUUGUUUCAUAAACAAAGAUUAUAUUAAUAUUUAAUAUUGUCAGACUUCACUAUAGCAUUGAGUUCAUCCCCAUAGUCUAUUUAAAACUUUCAAAUACUAAUUCACUUUGUCUUAUCUAAUGGUGAUCAUGGGGGUAUCCACUAUCCAUAGUCUCUGGUAUGAACACUCACUGUCCUGGUUAGGGCUAGGAUGUAAUCUCUAUUUCUGAUGGAACACAUGUUAAACCAAGAAAACAAACAGUAGACCUAGACUUUAUUAACAGGUCAUGCAAGCAUUUUUUUAUAAUUGUGAACUGAUGCUCUCAGAGCUAUUUUUAUGUAUUUUUAUUAUUGCAACUUUUGUAGACUAUUGCUAAGCUGUAUGCUUAUACUUCCGCCUAUUAUUAUAUGGGUUAGGGCGAUGCUGUUUCCUGUACUGUUGACCAAAGUGUGUCAGUUUUAAUUAUUCUGUACUUGGAACUGCCUUUAAGUUUCAGAAUUUGUUGUUUUUUUUCUAUAUGAAAAGCUACUUUAUAUAUAUAGUUAUAUAUUAUGGUACAUUAUUUUUCUAAUUGAAACAACUGUCAAAAUAAUUGGCGGUUUUUUGUUUUAAAGUUUGUUUUAAAAUGAUGGCCACUUCUAAUGUUUAUGUACUAGAUCUUUUCCUAAUUUUUUUGUUUUUUUAUCUGCAGUGUUUUGUAACUGCUGCUUUGCUCAUUUGAAUUAAAGUAUCAUUUUGUUA